CAGGUGGUGCAUGGUUGUCGUCAGCUCGUGUCGUGAGAUGUUGGGUUAAGUCCCGCAACGAGCGCAACCCUCAUCCUUAGUUGCCAUCACGUUUGGGUGGGCACUCUAAGGAAACUGCCGGUGGUAAGCCGGAGGAAGGUGGGGAUGACGUCAAGUCCUCAUGGCCCUUACGGGUAGGGCUACACACGUGCUACAAUGGCAGUGACAAUGGGUUAAUCCCCAAAAACUGUCUCAGUUCGGAUUGUCGUCUGCAACUCGACGGCAUGAAGGUGGAAUCGCUAGUAAUCGUGGAUCAGCAUGCCACGGUGAAUACGUUCCCGGGCCUUGUACACACCGCCCGUCACAUCAUGGGAAUUGGUUCUACCCGAAGACGCUGUGCUAACUUCGGAGGCAGGCGGCCACGGUAGGAUCAGUGACUGGGAUGAAGUCGUAACAAGGUAGCCGUAGGGGAACCUGCGGCUGGAUCAC
rnacentral:rRNA from 11 species